rnacentral:rRNA from 1 species
UACGUAGGGGGCAAGCGUUGUCCGGAUUUAUUGGGCGUAAGAGCGUGUAGGCGGCCAGAUAGGUCAGCUGUGAAAACUCGAGGCUCAACCUCGAGAUGUCGGCUGAAACCAUCUGGCUAGAGUCCGGAAGAGGAGAAUGGAAUUCCCGGUGUAGCGGUGAAAUGCGCAGAUAUCGGGAAGAACACCCGUGGCGAAGGCGGUUCUCUGGGACGGUACUGACGCUGAGACGCGAAAGCGUGGGGAGCGAACAGG